rnacentral:tRNA from 1 species
AGACGCUUAGUUUAAAGAAAACAUUUGAUUUCGGCUCAAAAACUUGCGGUUUGAGUCCGCAAUUGUCUA